rnacentral:lncRNA from 1 species
GUUAGUCCUUGCAAAAUGGCCAUGGGCUGGAUGACAAGGAAAGAAGCAGCCAUUACAGGACACAGCAUCAGAGUCAAAGCUCUACACAAGGACAGUGGCUGUGAUGGUUAAAGGAAGGGCUGGAUGUGAAAAUAGCUGAUGGAGGAGUCAGAGAGCCUGGCAAGUGAUUGUUGAGAUGAAAAGAAAUGAAAAUGCCAAGAUCCCCAGCCUGUUACUGGAAGGAAAGUGACUCCAUUAAUCCCUUCAGAAGGAGCAGGUUCUGCUUAGAGGAUUGGUGUGAAAAUAAGGUUAUUAUUUGACAUAUUGAGUUGAAAACAUCUGCGGAACAUGAACAAAGAAAUGCCUUAAAGCCUGUAAUCCCAGCACUUUGGGAGGCCGAGGCAGGAGGAUCAUGAGGUCAGGAGAUCGAAACCAUCUUGGCUAACACAGUGAAACCCUGUCCCUACUAAAAAUACAAAAAAAAAAAUUAAUUAACCAGGCAUGGUGGUGGGUGCCUGUAGUCCCAGCUACUCAG